rnacentral:lncRNA from 1 species
CCCUGUCUUGGAAAAAAAAAACACUCAUACAUAUUCACACACAGCACACAAACACACCACAGAUACACAUACAUCACAUACACACUCACAGCACACAAACACACCACAGAUACAUAUACUUCACACACACACACAGCACAGAUACACAUACAUCACACACUCACACACACACUCAUACACACUCACACACAGCACACAAACACACCACAGAUAUACAUACAUCACACAUUCACACACACACUCAUACACACUCACACACAGCACACAAACACACCACAGAUACACAUACAUCACAUACACACUCUCACACACACCACAUAUACACAUACAUCACACACUCACACUUGCACACAAAUACACCACAGAUACACAUACAUCACAUACACACCACAGAUACACACACAAACACACAUACACAUACACACACACACACAGCACACAAACACACCACAGAUACACAUACAUCACAUACACACUCACACAUACACUCAUACACACUCACACACAGCACACAAACACACCACAGAUACACAUACAUCACACACACACACAGAGCACACAAACACACCACAGAUACACAUACAUCACAUACACACACACUCAUACACACUCAUACACACACACACACACACAGAUGCACAUACAGCACACACAGCACACAAACACACCACAGAUACAUAUACUUCACACACACACACACACCACAGAUAUACAUCACAUACACACUCAUACAUACACUCAUACAGACUCACACACAGCACAC